UACUGAAGAUGGAACUUCUUACACCUGGCAGAGGGUUAACCACAGACAGUGGGGACUGUGACACAGUGGGUUUCCUGUGAGGAAUGUCAACCUAUGGUGUUAGGACAUGUGGCUGUAUGUCCAAUCAUGAGUUGUUAUGAUAUGGUAAACCAAUGCUGUGUGUACAUGUGUUACCCCAGAACUGUAUAAAGGUAGCUGUACUGUUGCAAUAAAAAAGCUGCUGGUAUCCUGAAACCCAUGUCGCCCCCCCGCCUCGACCGCGACAUAUGGUGAACCCCCGACGUGAUUGCGAAGGAAGAUAGAAGAGAACUCGACGACAAGAAGCGAACGAAGAAUCGCUCGGGCGGGAUCUCGAGAAGCUGCUACCCGGAGGGAUCAGACGGCCGCUGACCCCCCCGUUCCGCUUUCACCGCUUCUCAGCCCGAGAGAUCGCAUGCCGCUGAGCUGCCUUUUGCUGCUGCUGAGAACUUUCUCGCUGCUGCUGAGACUUUUUCACGGCUACUCUGCUUUCUACCUACCUGUGGCACAUGCACAAGCUACAUGGACAACUCAUUUAUGGACAUUCAGCACUGAGAA